AAUAUUGCGCAAUGGAGGAAACUCUGACGCAGCAACGCCGCGUGAAGGAAGAAGGCCUUCGGGUUGUAAACUUCUUUGAUCGGGGACGAAAAUGACGGUACCCGAGGAACAAGCCACGGCUAACUACGUGCCAGCAGCCGCGGUAAUACGUAGGUGGCAAGCGUUGUCCGGAAUUACUGGGUGUAAAGGGCGUGUAGGCGGGGGAGCAAGUCAGAUGUGAAAGCCCAUGGCUUAACUGUGGAACUGCAUCUGAAACUGUUCUUCUUGAGUGCUGGAGAGGAAAGUGGAAUUCCUAGUGUAGCGGUGAAAUGCGUAGAGAUUAGGAGGAACACCAGUGGCGAAGGCGGCUUUCUGGACAGUAACUGACGCUGAGGCGCGAAAGCGUGGGGAGCAAACAGG
rnacentral:rRNA from 1 species